CCUAGACUUUUACGUUAUGGAAAGGAAUAUUCCAUCUGCAGAAUGCAAACCACAGGACUGCUUGGUUUCAAUAAGUGUCUGCAUCGACUGAAGCCAGGUGCACAGAACAAAAGCUCCAGAAGUAUAACUGACAUCCAGGCAUAUUGACUAUGACUCAUUCAUGGGGAAUCUUCAGUCAUUUUAAAAGGCAGAUGGACUCUGUAUAUUAUCCCAUUUGAAGGGCAGUGCUCUAAUAAUACUACAAUUCCCCCAGUUUUGUACUGCAACAUAUGAAUAUAUUAUGAGUUGAAGACCCUGGAGCUGGACUCAAACCCAGAAACUAUUGACAAGAGAGUUCCAGAAUCCAUUGCAUUUGCUUUUGAAAAGUCACCAUCCUGCCGUCACACAGGAAGGUUUUGAGAGGUGGGGAUGAAACGUUCAGGAAGGGUCUCGU